rnacentral:rRNA from 1 species
AGUGGAUGGGGAGCAACCUAGUUGUGCGUGUGUAAAGGUAGUGCCAAGAAAAGCGAUGAUCAUGUUGAAAAUCAAUUCCCGGUACCCGAAACCGACACAGGUGGGCAAGUAGAGAAUACUAAGGGGCGCGAGGUAACUCUCUCCAAGGAACUCGGCAAAAUGACCCCGUAACUUAGGGAGAAGGGGUGCCACCGAGAGGUGGUCGCAGUGAAGAGGCCCAGGCGACUGUUUAGCAAAAACAUAGGUCUCUGCAAACUCGAAAGAGGAGGUAUAGGGGCUGACGCCUGCCAGUGCCGGAAGGUUAAAGAAGUUGGUCAGUCUUAGGAUGAAGCUAGCGACUGAAGCCCCGGUGAACGGCGGCCGUAACUAUAACGGUCCUAAGGUAGCGAAAUUCCUUGUCGGGUAAGUUCCGACCCGCACGAAAGGCGUAACGAUCUGGGCGCUGUCUCGGAGAGAGGCUCGGCGAAAUAGGAUUGUCUGUGAAGAUACGGACUACCUGCAUUUGGACAGAAAGACCCUAUGAAGCUUUACUAUAGCUUGGAAUUGUGUUCGGGCUUCCUGUGCGCAGUAUAGGUGGGAGGCGUAGAAGGUAUUCUUGUGGGGAUACUGGAGCCAACGGUGAGAUACCACUCUCAGGAGGCUAGAAUUCUAACUUAAUUAAGGACAGUUUCAGGUGUAGUUUGACUGGGGCGGUCGCCUCCAAAAAGGUAACGGAGGCGUACAAAGGUUCCCUCAGACUGGUUGGAAAUCAGUCGAAGAGUGCAAAGGCAGAAGGGAGCUUGACUGCGAGAAGUACAGUUCGAGCAGGGUGGAAACACGGUCUUAGUGAUCCGACGGUGCUGUGUGGAAGGGCCGUCGCUCAACGGAUAAAAGUUACUCUAAGGAUAACAGGCUGAUCUCCCCCAAGAGUUCACAUCGACGGGGAGGUUUGGCACCUCGAUGUCGGCUCAUCGCAACCUGGGGCGGAAGUACGUCCCAAGGGUUGGGCUGUUCGCCCAUUAAAGCGGUACGUGAGCUGGGUUCAGAACGUCGUGAGACAGUUCGGUCCAUAUCCGAUGUAGGCGUGAGAAUAUUGAGAGGAGCCUUCCUUAGUACGAGAGGACCGGGAAGGACGCACCGCUGGUGUACCUGUUAUGAUGCCAAUUGUAAAUGCAGGGUAGCCAAGUGCGGAGAGGAUAACCGCUGAAAGCAUCUAAGAGGGAAGCCCACCUCAAGAUGAGUAUUCUGGUGUAAGGUCACGGGAAGACGACCCGUAAAUAGGCACGAGGUGGAAGUGCAGAGAUGUAUGAAGCCGAAGUGUACUAAUAGACCGUCGGCUUGACC